UGGUAUUUUAUUUAUUACCAUAAGAUGGCAUUAGUAGUACUAGUAGCUAAUGUGGGUGAUUAGGGAGGGUGCCUGCCUAUUAUUCCACCCCUUAACAAGGCAUCAUCAAUCAUUAUCCUCGGCCAGGCAGAUCAUGGGGUGAUGUAGGUGGGAUCGUGUGCCACCUGGAGGGAAAGAUUCCUCCUCUUUCUUCUACCCUUAAUUUCAGCAAUUGCCAGCACUUGUGCAGUGCUACACGCACCCGGUCGUCACCACAGUAAAUAUUAGUACUACACAUACUACUGCAAAUCUAGGCGCGUGAUUGCCCAAGUUAGUUUCUACUAUUCUCCAAUAGUGGCACCCAACAUAUCCAUUACCUAUAUGAAAUGUUAUGUUGUAUACAAGGAAUAUAGUGCAGGAUCAUUUAUAGUUAUUAAUUGUAUAUACAUAGAAUUUAAAUUUUUAUCUCUAAGCUGAAUUAUGCUCGUUAGAAUGAGUGCAGUUUGGAUAUGUUCAAACAGACAGAUCACUCAUUCUUUGUGCAAGUUCUUAGAUUGUGAGAAUGGAACAUGAUGUGCUAUUUGAUCUAAUGAUGAUCCUGUGGCUUGCACAAAUAAAACUUCGUCUCAAAAGGAGAUGUCAUUUAUUAAAAGAUUGUGCGCAUACUCCAUAUAUUUUUGAGCUAUUGGAAUCGUCAUAGUUUCUGAAAGUCAUUUGUAUGCUAACAUGUAGCUAUACGGUCAUGGUUAACCUGCAUAAAACCAUAAUUACUAUGCAAUUCAUGCUAUUCCAUAUGACAUAACAAAUCACUCUUGCAGUCCUUUUAGAGUUUUAUACAUCAUAUGUGCAGUUUCUAGAGGUGUUCUCUUACUACAAUAAAAUUUAUACCACUGCAGAUGUAAGAAAAUCAUGUACAAACAAGUUACAGACAUAGUGAUAUCUAGGUUCUACUCAAGCAUUUUGAUUCAACGGGUUGGAGGAUAUGCUCAAACCGGAGGCGGUAGUCAAAGUUUUGACUUAAUUAUAUUAAAACUUUAAAAAAGGAAUCUCGCAUAGAAAAAACGUGUAUAAAGAUGGAGAAAUUGAUGACUGU
rnacentral:lncRNA from 1 species